rnacentral:rRNA from 1 species
UACGUAGGGUGCGAGCGUUAAUCGGAAUUACUGGGCGUAAAGCGUGCGCAGGCGGUUCGUUGUGUCGGCGGUGAAAGCCCCGGGCUUAACCUGGGAAUGGCCGUUGAAACUGGCGAACUGGAGUGUGGCAGAGGGGGGUGGAAUUCCGCGUGUAGCAGUGAAAUGCGUAGAGAUGCGGAGGAGCACCGAUGGCGAAGGCAGCCCCCUGGGCUAACACUGACGCUCAGGCACGAAAGCGUGGGGAGCAAACAGG